rnacentral:rRNA from 1 species
GACAGAGGAGGCGAGCGAUAUCCGGAGCAAUUGGGCGUAAAGGAUACGUAGGCGGCUAGUCAAGUCUGAGGUUAAAGACAACAGCUUAACUGUGUGAAGGCCUUGGAAACUGACUGGCUAGAGUGGGGCAGGGAUUGCGUGAAUUACCGGUGUAGCGGUGAAAUGCGUCGAUAUCGGGAAGAACACCUGAGGCAAAAGCGAGCAACUGGGCCCUAACUGAAGCUGAGGCACGAAAGCUAGGGGAGCAAACGCU